rnacentral:lncRNA from 1 species
AGUCGCGCUCCUCCCACGAGAACUUGGCGGUGUCGUUGCUGAGGCGCGUCGCGAGCUUGCCCGCUGGGUGUUUGACUUUUCGUUUGGCUUCUGACCUGGUAUACGGUGGCCCUUACGGCUGCAUCUAGCCCUAAACCAUAAUCCGUACCCUUCUCCGUCUCCUCGGUCGUUAAUGAGGCGUACCAGAGACUCGCCCAAGGCCCCAAUUUUCUGCUGAUCCACAGGCAACCAGGCCGGGAUUCGCACCAUAAGUGCCAGGCUCUUAGGCAUGUCGGUCCCCGGACUCUCCCUCGCAGGAAUCCCAUCAUCUGGACAGGGGGCUCACCUAUACGUUUGGGAGGCCUACCUGGAGGAAGCUUGAGGACUAGACGAAAGAGAACGUCCAGUUAGACAUUGUGUGUGCUAAAGGCGGGGGAAGGUAGAGCUGGGCAUGCCCAGGAGUCUGCGGGUUAGCUGCCCAAGUGUGUCGGGGCAGAGGCGAGAAAGGCAGGACUCAGAACACAAGUCCCAUGGAAUGCAAAGAACGGCCUCGGGCAAGACCAGGGCCUGGAAUUGGGUCUUAGGACAUCUCAUGUUACAGAAUCUCUCUUACCUGAAUCUGAAAACCAGUAUAAUAACUUUAGGCAAGUCUCAGUCCAUUCACACCUAUUACAGGUUAUCCAUUUUACCUACUUCUGCCGGUUAAUAAGAAUGUGAGUGCUAACAGGUAAUACAAGUCCUGCUGCUCCUGGGCUAGGUGGAGGGAUGGGUUUAGCAACUGGAAAAUGAUCUAUCCAUAGAUAAAUAGCAACUAGAAAGAAAUAGAUGAGGACCCUCAGACUACUUGAGCAGAUGAUUUGAAGGUUAUCCUAAAUGUGGUUGAAUUGCUUCUGUGGGGAUAUAGAUCCUGGAAGAUUGAUUAACAUGGCGAAGCAGAUCAAAACCCGACCGUUAAUAUUUUCCAUAUUACAAUCUCUGACGUUUUAUGGAAUUAUAAGAGAACUUAGGAUAAAGUGUGUAUGAUAAAUACAUACCUGACUCCAGUGUAAAAUGUGUUUUGAUGUUUUGGGCAUGCUUUCCAAAUGUUAUAAAUAGGAAUAAAGAGAACUUACAUUUGUAAGAAAAAUGUAGGUAUUUCUUAUAAUUUUUUGAAUACUUAAAUCAGGUGAGACCAAAACAGGAAUAUAUACCCUUAUAGGUUAAAGGUUCUGUUUGCAGUUAAACAGUUAAAUAUUUCUUGCCAGGAAGUAGUGGCCCACACCUUUAAUCCCAGCAGAGAUUAAACUCAGGAGGCAGAGGCAGGCAGAUCUCUAAGUCUGAGGCUAGCCUGAUAGGCUAGUUCCAGGACAGUCAAGGCUAUACAGAAACACUGACUCAAAAAACACCAAAAAAAGCGAGCAGUGGUGGCGCCUUUAAUCCCAGCACUCAGGAGGCAGAGGCAGACAGAUUUCUGAGUUCCAGGCCAGCCUGGUCUACAAAGUGAGUUCCAGGACAGCCAGGGCUAUAACAGAGAAACCCUGUCUCAAAAAACAAACAAACCACCAAAAAA